rnacentral:tRNA from 2 species
GCCCUCGUAGCUCAGUUGGAUAGAGCAAUCGCCUCCUAAGCGAUAGGUCGCAGGUUCAAAUCCUGCCGUGGGCA